rnacentral:rRNA from 1 species
AGUUUGAUCCUGGCUACAGAACGAACGCUGGCGGCAUGCCUAAUACAUGCAAGUCGAACGAGAUCUUCGGAUCUAGUGGCGCACGGGUGCGUAACGCGUGGGAAUCUACCCUUGGGUUCGGAAUAACAGUUAGAAAUGACUGCUAAUACCGGAUGAUGACGUAAGUCCAAAGAUUUAUCGCCCAAGGAUGAGCCCGCGUAAGAUUAGCUAGUUGGUGAGGUAAAGGCUCACCAAGGCUACGAUCUUUAGCUGGUCUGAGAGGAUGAUCAGCCACACUGGGACUGAGACACGGCCCAGACUCCUACGGGAGGCAGCAGUAGGGAAUAUUGGACAAUGGGCGAAAGCCUGAUCCAGCAAUGCCGCGUGAGUGAUGAAGGCCUUAGGGUUGUAAAGCUCUUUUACCCGAGAUGAUAAUGACAGUAUCGGGAGAAUAAGCUCCGGCUAACUCCGUG